rnacentral:rRNA from 1 species
AACGAACGCUGGCGGCAUGCCUAACACAUGCAAGUCGAACGAAACCUUCGGGUCUAGUGGCGCCCGGGUGCGUAACGCGUGGGAACCUGCACUUAGGUUCGGCAUAACUCCCCGAAAGGGGUGCUAAUACCGGAUAAUGUCUUCGGACCAAAGAUUUAUCGCCUUUGGAUGGGCCCGCGUUGGAUUAGCUAGUUGGUAGGGUAAAAGCCUACCAAGGCGACGAUCCAUAACUGGUCUGAGAGGAUGAUCAGCCACACUGGGACUGAGACACGGCCCAGACUCCUACGGGAGGCAGCAGUGGGGAAUAUUGGACAAUGGGCGAAAGCCUGAUCCAGCAAUGCCGCGUGAGUGAUGAAGGCCGUAGGGUUGUAAAGCUCUUUUACCCGGGAUGAUAAUGACAGUACCGGGAGAAUAAGCGCCGGCUAACUACGUG